rnacentral:rRNA from 1 species
AUAUGAACUCUUAGAGAAAUUAUUUAAUAAACGAAGUGAAUUGAAAUAUCUUAGUAACUUCAGGAAAAGAAAUCAAACGAGAUUCUAUUAUUAGUGUGAACUAAAAUAGAGUAGCCUAUUUAAAUAAGUAAAAUGGCUUUAAAGCUGUUUGAAUUUUAUGGGGAACCUUCCUCAAAGGCUAAAUAUAAUACAUAAGCGACAGAGAAUAGUACCGUGAGGGAAAAUUUUUUUGAAAUAGUAGUUUUAUAAGCAGCUCAAGCUUAAAAAAAUGCGAGAGCGUACCUUUUGCAUAAUGGGUCACCAAGUUAACAUUAGAUGCGAAUAUAUGCAUAGUUAAACCGAUCAUUAAAAUAAUGAAUAGUGUCUAAAGUUAGACCCGAAGCCUGGUGAUCUUACUAUAGUCAGGACUAUAAGGGUCCGAACGGGUUAUCGUUGCAAAGAUAUCCGAAGAACUAUGGUAAGCAAAGUGAAAGACAAAACUGACCAGGAUAGCUGGUUUUCUGCGAAACCUAUAAUAGUAGGCAGUUUAAGUAACAUCUUAGUAGGUACAGAACUUAAUCUCAUACAAAAUGUAUAUUUUUCAUAUAAAUUUAUAUGAAAUACAUUUUUUGUAAAUAUCGGGGGAUCGUGAAGAUUUUAUCGGUGAGUAUGUAGACUCGGAAUGACAAAGAUGGAUCUUGAAUUAUCGGACAUAGAAUGAUAAGGUUGUAUGUCAAAAGGGAAACAGCCCAGAACAAAUAGUUAAGGUUCCAAAAUUAUUAUUGAGUGAAAUUAAGAAAGCUUUUAUAUAAGUCGACAAGGAGAUAGGCCUGGAAUCAGCCAUAAUUUAAAGAUCUCGUAACAGAGCACUUGUUAAAUCUUAAAAGUAUCGAAAAUUUAUCGGAUCUAAAUAAUAUACCGAAACUUUGUCCAUAUAUAACAUUAAAAAGAAAAUACAAUUACUAUGGUAAUACAUAGAUGAUUAAAACAAUAAUAAUAUUAAUGUUAUUUGGUGGGGUAGCAGAACGUUGAGUUAAUAUUUGACUUUUAUUUUUUAAAUAAAAUUAUAGGAUAACUCAAGUGAUAAUGGUGACAUGAGUAACAAAAAAGAAGGGCAUUAGCCCUCUCGCCUAAAGCUUAUGGAAAUUUAGAAAAGUAACGGCCUCUAAGUUUAUAAUCUGAAGAUUAUGACGAUGAGAAAAUCUUAUUACUUUUGAGGACAACAUUUUUUAAAGUGAAAAAUGUGCUGGAAAAAAUAAGUAAUUAAAAACCGUUCCUAGGAACUGACACAAGUAAGCUAGUAGAGAAUACGAAGGCGCAAAUGAGCUAACAAUCAUAAAGGAACUCGGCAAACUAACUACUCGUAACUUAGGAAUAAGGAGGGCUCCUAAUCUCGAUUAAUAGAGUAAACAGGAAGAAGCAUAAAAUAUUGUUGUACGACUGUUUAAUUAAAACAAAGCACUUUGCAAAAGAUGAUAAAUCUAAGUAUUGAGUGUGAUCUCUGCCCGAUGCCGGCUGGUUAACGAAUUUAUUAAAUAAAAAGUUUGAUUUUAGAGGAACCCCCGGUUAAUGGCGGCCUUAGCGUGAGGGUCCUAAGGUAGCGAAAUGCCUUGGCCGUUAAAUGCGGUCUUGCAUGAAUGACGUAACGAUACAACAGCUGUCUCUAUGAUUGACUCAGUGAAAUUGGAAUAGCUGUGCAGAUACAGUUUACCUCUAGUUAGACGAGAAGACCCUAUGCAGCUUUACUAUUACUAAUUAUCGAAUAUGAUCCCGGCUAUUUUUAGUGUAUAAGGUAAUCGAUAAGAUACAAUUGAAACACCUUUAUUAUUCUGUCAUAUUGCUAAACCUUGUAAUGAGGGACAAUUGUUAGGAGAUAGUUUAUGCGGGGCACAGACCCCACAAAGAGUAGAUGGGUGUGUCUAAACAUUAUAAAUUUAUGUUUGCAAUUUUUCUAUAGUAAUCCUAUAUUUAAUCAUUUACACGCUGUUCAAUUAUAUAUGUAAUACAUAUAAUCUAUAUAUGUAUUAUAGUCUUUGGAUAAAGUAUAAAAGUUAUUAUGCAUUAAUUUGUAUAAUAAUUUCUAUGUAAAGUCGUUGUGAGGGGUAAGAUUUUGUUUAUGGAGAAAUUAGAUGUAAUAUAAAAAAUAUUUUGAGUCUUCUAAUAUUUUAUAGUUAUUAUUAUUUUAAUAAUAAAAAUGUUUAUUACUUAAAAAGCUUAAUGGCUUAAUCUUGCCUUACUGUUUGAUUAACAACAAAUCUUACAGUCGCGUAAGCGGGGCAUAGGAUCACAAGAUACAAAAAGGAAAGAUCUUGGAUUUUUGGAAAAGCUACGCUAGGGAUGAACAGGCUAAUUUGCGCAAGAGUGCACAAAACGAGUGCGCGGUUUGGCACCUCGAUGUCGGCUUAACUUAUCCUCAUGGAUGCAGAAACUAUGUAGGGUACGACUGUUCGUCGAUUAAAAAGUUACAUGAGCUGGGUUAAAUACGUCGUGAGACAGUAUGGUUUCUAUCUUCUAGAGGGAAUUAGAAUAUAACAAGGAUUAACCUUGUACGAGAGGAACAUGGGGUACUGUUGGGAUACCGAGAGGUAUAACAAUUUUAUUAACCUCUGGUUUACCUGUUGUUUAUAUGCCUGAUAUUAAUUAUUAAUACAUAGAAAUAUGUAUUAAUAUAUAGGAUAUAUAUAUAAUAUAUAUAUAUCCGCGGAUGUUAACGUCACUUUACUAAAUAAAUAAUAUAAGCAUGGCAGGAAAGCUAAGUUAGUCCAAGAUAAGUGCUGAAAGCAUGUAGGCACGAAGCUAACCUUGGGAUAUUUCUUAAAUAUACGUAAAAUAAUAUUACAUUAAUAGGCUUAAUUUGUAAGAAUUUAGAAAUUGUCAGAUAUUAAGUACUAAUUUUAUAAUAAACUAUAUAAUUAAUA